rnacentral:ncRNA from 2 species
AAAUAUAGAGGCGCAAUAAGCAAGAGUACGUAACUUUUAUCGAGGUAAGUCCUAGUUACGAAAAGGGCGUUAUUGCCGAGGCUUUCAGCAUCUUACCCUGCUGUUUGUCGGUUGGUAUGGCUAAAUCCAUACGACUGUCAUCACUUAGAUGGAGUACUAUUA